GAGUUGAUCGUGGCUCAGAUUGAACGCUGGCGGCAUGCCUUACACAUGCAAGUCGAACGGUAACAGGUCUUCGGAUGCUGACGAGUGGCGAACGGGUGAGUAAUACAUCGGAACGUGCCCGAUCGUGGGGGAUAACGGAGCGAAAGCUUUGCUAAUACCGCAUACGAUCUACGGAUGAAAGCAGGGGACCGCAAGGCCUUGCGCGGACGGAGCGGCCGAUGGCAGAUUAGGUAGUUGGUGGGAUAAAAGCUUACCAAGCCGACGAUCUGUAGCUGGUCUGAGAGGACGACCAGCCACACUGGGACUGAGACACGGCCCAGACUCCUACGGGAGGCAGCAGUGGGGAAUUUUGGACAAUGGGCGAAAGCCUGAUCCAGCCAUGCCGCGUGCAGGAUGAAGGCCUCGGUUGUAAC
rnacentral:rRNA from 1 species